rnacentral:rRNA from 1 species
CUUAUUCUUUAGUAAGUCGAGCGGUAGCACGAAGGAGCUUGCUUCUUUGCUGAAGAGUGGCGGACGGGUGAGUAAUGUCUGGGAAACUGCCUGAUGGAGGGGGAUAACUACUGGAAACGGUAGCUAAUACCGCAUAACGUCGCAAGACCAUUGAGGGGGACCUUCGGGCCUCUUGCCAUCGGAUGUGCCCAGAUGGUAUUAGGUUGUUGGUGGGGUAACGGCUCACCUACCUUGACUCUCCCUAGCUGGUCUGAGAGGAUGACCAGCCCCACUGGAACUGAGACACGGUCCAUACUCCUACCGGAGGGAUCAGUGGGGAAUAUUGCACAAUGGGCGCGGGCCUGAUGCAGCCAUGCCGCGUGUAUGAAGACCUUCUUCGGGUUGUAUAGUACUUUCAGCGAGGAGGAAGGGAGUAAAGUUAAUACCUUUGCUCAUUGACGUUACCCGCAGAAUAAGCACCUGCUAACUCCCUGCCAGCUGCCGCGGUAAUACGGAGGGUGCAAGCGUUCUUCGUAAUUACUGUGCGUAGUUUUCACGCAGGCGGUUUGUCCAGUCGGAUGUGAUAUCCCCGGGCUCAACCUGGGAACUGCAUCUGAUACUGGCUUGCUUGAGUCUCGUAGAGGGCGGUAGAAGGUUGUGUGUAGCGGUGAAAUGCAUAUAGAUCUGGAGGAAUACCGGUGGCGAAGGCUGCCCCCUGGACGAAGACUGACGCUCAUGUGCGAAAGCGUGGAUCAGCAUACUAUGAUUAUAUUCCCUGGUAGUCCACGCCGUAAACGAUGUCCACCCGGAGGUUGUGCCCUUGAGGCGCGGCUUCAGGAGCUCACGCGUUUGUCCACCGCCUGGAAUGUACGGCCGCUAAGUUAAAAC